rnacentral:rRNA from 1 species
CCUACGGGGUGCUGCAGUGGGGAAUAUUGGACAAUAGGCGAAAGCCUGAUCCAGCCAUGCCGCGUGUGUGAAGAAGGCCUUCGGGUUGUAAAGCACUUUCAGUGGGGAAGAAAGCCUUGGGGCUAAUACCCUCGAGGAAGGACAUCACCCACAGAAGAAGCACCGGCUAACUCCGUGCCAGCAGCCGCGGUAAUACGGAGGGUGCGAGCGUUAAUCGGAAUUACUGGGCGUAAAGCGCGCGUAGGCGGUCUGAUAAGCCGGUUGUGAAAGCCCCGGGCUCAACCUGGGAACGGCAUCCGGAACUGUCAGGCUAGAGUGCAGGAGAGGAAGGUAGAAUUCCCGGUGUAGCGGUGAAAUGCGUAGAGAUCGGGAGGAAUACCAGUGGCGAAGGCGGCCUUCUGGACUGACACUGACGCUGAGGUGCGAAAGCGUGGGUAGCAAACAGGAUUAGAUACCCCAGUAGUC